UCGGGUCAUUGGCAAGAUCGAACAAAGCGGUUCAUAGCUCACUAUGUCUUCCAAGCAACGAUUCAUACUAUCUGGAGGAAACGUAACAAUCGGCGGCAUGGCGAACAACCAAAUCCACCGGUGCGUUUAAUCCGAUGGAUAGACAAGCAAGUAAGAGAUCGACUUUCUUCACUGAACACAAGCGGAGAAAGAAGACAUGAGACGGGACUUCAAAUUUGGUUUGCAACAAGAAAUUUAUACUAGUUUCUUUGAUCUAAAAUGUAUUUAGCCUUUUUCAAACUCACGUUGCACUUGUUGUACAAAAGACAUUUUUCUUUUGAAUCUAAUUUAACAUUACAUUAAAAAAAA
rnacentral:sRNA from 1 species